rnacentral:rRNA from 1 species
UACGAAGGGGGCUAGCGUUGCUCGGAAUCACUGGGCGUAAAGGGUGCGUAGGCGGGUCUUUAAGUCAGGGGUGAAAUCCUGGAGCUCAACUCCAGAACUGCCUUUGAUACUGAAGAUCUUGAGUUCGGGAGAGGUGAGUGGAACUGCGAGUGUAGAGGUGAAAUUCGUAGAUAUUCGCAAGAACACCAGUGGCAAGGAGGCG